rnacentral:rRNA from 1 species
GACGGAGGGUGCUCGCGUUGUUCGGAAUGACUGGGCGUAAAGGGCGCGUAGGCGGGUUCGCACGUCUGUUGUGAAAGCCUCCAGCUUAACUGGAGAAGUGCCAUGGAUACAGCGCAUCUUGAGGAGGGUAGGGGCGUCUGGAACGGUCGGUGGAGCGGUGAAAUGCGUAGAUAUCAGGAGGAACACCGGUGGCGAAGGCGGCUUCCUGGAAAAUAACUGACGCUGAGGCGCGAAAGCUAGGGGAGCAAACAGG